GGAAAAGGUGUUUGAUGGAUAGAGGAGACUACUGGCCCAUGAUUGAAGACAUUCCCUGUGUGGAAAUACGCAGUGAACGCAUCAGAUCGGGUUCGAUGCACUUUUUUUCUUAUCAUUCUGAUUAAGCUGUGUGCACUCUCUUCACUUGAGAUGGUAAAAUAUUUGUUGGCACGUUGACGUAGGCUCAACUCGUAGAAUGCAGAUUGUAGAGGAAACUAAUCACAGGAUCUUUCUGCCCCAUCUUGUUCUUGUAUUUUGCUAAAUCCCUGCCGUUCCUGCCUUGAUGAUAUUGCAAGUCUCUUUGUUGGGUCUUAUUUUUCAAAUCGCCUUUUUUAUUCUUCACGCUUACUAAUUUUGGUCUUUCUACCGUGUUAGGUACUUUAAUGUGCAUGAUGUCAUUGUUUACGUACACUAAUACACAUUAUUUUGUUGUAGUGUUUUUCCAGUCAGCAUGGUUCAUUACUUGGUGUGUUGUAUUCAAGUCACAACAAAUGCCACUUCUAUUUCUUUUUUUUUUCC